rnacentral:rRNA from 1 species
UACGGAGGGAGCUAGCGUUGUUCGGAAUUACUGGGCGUAAAGCGCGCGUAGGCGGCUUUGUAAGUUAGAGGUGAAAGCCCGGGGCUCAACCCCGGAACUGCCUUUAAGACUGCAUCGCUUGAAUCCAGGAGAGGUGAGUGGAAUUCCGAGUGUAGAGGUGAAAUUCGUAGAUAUUCGGAAGAACUCCAGUGGCGAAGGCGGCUCACUGGACUGGUAUUGACGCUGAUGUGCGAAAGCGUGGGGAGCAAACAGG